UAUAACUUUUUCCUUCAAAAAAACCAUAUAACUUUUAUUUAUAGAGCUGUUAAAAAUUUCAAUUUAUUAUAUCGAGAGGAUGAAAAAUAUGAUUAAGCUUGUUUAUGCUUUGAUAAUGUUUCUUUUUCCAAUUCUUUCUGAUUCCGCUUACCGUUGGGAUGAAAAGGCAUUCGUCAAAUGAGGGGUGGACGGGGUGGCUUUGAGGAUGGAUGGGAAGGGCGGCAAACCAAGGCACCGUUAUUUUAGGGGUACCAAAGUCUGUUUGAGAAAAUUGAGUUCUCUAAUAAGUUUGAAUUCAUUAGAUAUGGGUUGUGAUGGGAAUUGUGUGUAAGAAGUAUUAGAUUAAGAAUGAGAAGUUAAGUCAUUGUGGAAAAGAACUCACCUCUUGUUUGUUAUUUAUGUUGUAAUUGAAUAUAUUACUAAGUUGUUAACGUUCCA